AUUGAACGCUGGCGGCAGGCUUAACACAUGCAAGUCGAGCGAGCGGCGGACGGGUGAGUAAUGUCUGGGAAACUGCCUGAUAGAGGGGGAUAACUACAGGAAACGGUAGCUAAUACCGCAUACCAUCAGAUGUGCCAAGAUGGGAUUAGCUAGUAGGUGGGGUAAUGGCUCACAUAGGCGACGAUCCCUAGCUGGUCUGAGAGGAUGACCAGCCACACUGGAACCGAGACACGGGCCAGACUCCUACGGGAGGCAGCAGUGGGGAAUAUUGCACAAUGGGAGUAAGCCUGAUGCAGCCAGGCCACGUGUGUGAAGAAGGCCUUCGGGUUGUAAAGCACCUUCAGCGGGGAGGCGUUACCCGCAGAAGAAGCACCGGCUAACUCCGUGCCAGCAGCCGCGGUAAUUC
rnacentral:rRNA from 1 species